UCUUCUUGGUAUAUAUCUAGCUUCAGUUAUUUCACAGAAUGUUCAUCUCUCUAAAGUUUUUCCUACAAAACAAAACAAAGUAAUUUCAUCAGUGGCUUUUUUCUCUCAAUUCUUAUGUACAUCUCUAUGACCAGUUACCAGUUGUCAUCAAGUCAAUACCAACUCAUGGUGACUCCAUGUGUGUCAGAGUAGAACUGUGCUCCAUGGGGUUUCAGUGACCAGUUUUUCAAAAGCAGAACACCAGGUCUUUCUUCAAGGCAUCUCUGGGUAUACUUGAACCUCCAAUAUUUCGGUCAGCAGCUGGGCCACUUAACCCUUUUUACCCGCCGGGGACUGUUACCAGUAUAACAUCACUGUUUAAAUGCACAAAAGAGUAUAAAGGAUUAUACUGUUUUCAGAUGGAACUAUCUGAAAAGAAGUAAUGAAAACUUGGAGUUUUUGUGCCUGUUAGAAAACUGUUUGGGAUUUAUAAAGCAUUUUCCAAAAUAAAAGGCAGAACUGUACAAUUUUGAUUUGAAAAUCAAGGAAUUAGAGUGCCUCAAAUAUGCAUAAUUAAAAGAAUAGAAGAGGGUUGAAUAAAUGUCAAAUCUUCCUGAAUGAGUUUGAAAGAACCCCAAAAUUAUCCAAGUCACUUCUCAAAUCAGCCUUUAAAAUCUUUGAUUCAGUGCAUACAAAAACCAAACUUUUGUCAUGUUUUCCUCAGAGCUAGGUCCCUGUCCUCUAGGCUUGACACUUUAGAGACAGUCUUCAUUUCUUCUUCUCCCUCAACCCCGCCUCCCAUCUCUAGUCAGCCACUAACUUCCACCAUUCCUUUCUGAUGUGUUUUUGUGUCCAUGUUCUCCUUAGCUGUGUCUCUUGCUUUCUUCCUGCCUGACACAAAUAACCUGGGAUAUGGCAAGUACAAAAUGCCUUUGACAUUCCUAAGGGAUGUGUUGUAGAACUUUCACAAUUAAAUGCAUCAAUCUCCCUACUUUAGUAUAACUCAUUGUCUAUUUUUUAUUUCUACUACGGUUGACUUGGGGUGCUUUGCAUAAAGAAACAUUUUUCAUCACAUCGAGAUAGACUGCAUACAGGACCAGAAUCUAGGGGAAAACAAAGAAGGCAAAACCUCAUUGAGAACCAGAAGCAUGGUGCUAGCUAAUGACUUGCUUCCCCAAACUGACCUCAUAACUCUGUGCCCUAGAAAAUUAGAAAUGAGAACAUUUGGAGAUCUCUUGGGAGAAGUUGAAAUUGUGAAUGUUAUAUCUGUGAUUGCUAAGGGGCUAUGGUAUUUCCUGCCUAUUUUGUCUGCAGUUUGUCUCUUUCCCUUCUAAUUCAUUUUUUUUUUUAAAUCUGCUAGAUUAAUUUUGCUAAAAUGCCAUUUAGCAUUCCUCAUUCCCUGUUUAAAAACCUGCAGUGACUCACCAUUAGUUUCAGAAAUCAAUUCAAAAGGCUUAAUGAAGCUGGUUUCAGGCCUCCCACAGUUUGGCUCAUACCCACCUAUCUCCUAUUCUCCUUCAUAAACCUUUCAAAUAUAGCCAAAUUGGUUUGUUCUUUUUCCCUGGAGUAUGCUGUACAUUCUCCUAUCUCUGUGCCUUUGAUUCUUUUUAUUUAAUGUCGGCUGUGUGUGCCUUAGUUUAGGUCCUCUAGACUUGGCCUGUGGAUAUGUAAAGGCCACAGGGGAAACCCUGGUGGCCUAGUGGUUAAGAGCUACGGCUGCUAACCAAAAGGUCAGCAGUUUGAAUCUACCGGGCGCUCCUUGGAAGCUCUAUGGGGGCAGUUCUACUCUGUCCUGUAGGGUCGCUAUGAGUCGCAAUCUACUCAACGGCAACUGGUUUGGGUUUUUGGUUUGAAAGGCCACAGGAGUUGAAAUGUAGAACUCUGUUAGUUAAAGGGCAUUUCAGAGAUACAAGCUAAUGCCAUUACUUCAACUAUUAGUAUUUAUUGGUACAAAAAUUAAUUGAAUCAGAGCAGAAGGAUUGUCUACACGCUGAAUGAAUCAUUCAAGUCAUUCAGUAAUUGCUAGUCUUUGGUAACCCUUCAGGCUUUAUUUGUGAAACAGGUUUCAUGUUUUCAUAUGAAAAGCCACAGUUGAAUAAGAGAGCAAGUUUUAGAAUCCAGUUGUCUGGGUGUGAAACCUCACCCCCUCCUACUAAUGGCAUAUAGUUUCCGUAUUUCUAAUUGGGUAUAAUAAUGACAUAACUACGUUGUAGGGAGAUUGUAAAGAUAAGAACAGUGCCCAGCACUUGGUAAGAGCUUACUAAAUGUUAGCUGCUGCCAUUAUUGAUAGUAGUAGUAUUAGUAAAGCUGUUUUCUGCUAAAUUUCUUUUCUCCCCCCUCAGCGUUUACUUCACCACAUUCAAUUUUGAGGUAAAAGGUAUUUCCUGCUUUGAGAGCGAAGUGUAUUUCAAGUAAAAAAACAAAAACUCAACUAAUAUACCCUUAAAUUGUAAGGAGGCAUUUAGUGCAUGGAGGUAGUUAUGUGCCUCCUUUCCAAAAUGGGAACUUACAACAAAGGAAUCACUUAAGUUUAACAAUUCCUUGUAUUAGUCAUGUAAUCAUCCCUUGUCUUAGAAGCCUAGGGCCAAAUGGACCUGUUCCCAGGAGAAAGAAGCUAUCUCUCUUGGCUGAACAAAGAUUUCAGUAUAAAGGCAUUCUGCCCUCUGAGCCAUUGCUCCCUCCCUUAUCUUGGAGUGCUGACUCUCCCAUGAGAAAGAGCAGUAGAUGGGGCAGCAAAAGCAGAAAGAACUUUUCUCUUCCUUUAAGUGGAUUCAAGGCCUCAGGUGCAGAAAGAAAUGCCUACUCUUCCUGGACUCUUUAUAGGAAAAAAGAGCCAAUAAAGGUGCUCUGCAUGUAUGAAUCAGCUCAUUUAUUCAUUCAUACAUUCGUGUACUCUUUCAUUAUUCAUUCCAGGUAUCAGCCGUUUAUUGGGCAUCUACUUGGUGGCGUAGUGGUUAAGUGCUACAGCUGCUAACCAACAGGUUGGCAGUUCAAAUCUGCCAGGCGCUCCUUGGAAACUCUACGGGGCAGUUGUACUCUGUCCUAUAGGGUCGUCAUGAGUCAGAAUCGACUCUACGGCAGUGGGUUUGGUUUUUUGGUUUACUUGGUGACAAGCAUUGUGGUAGAUAUUGAACACAUUAAGGUGAAAGGAAUGAAAUUUAGUUCUCUGCCUUGAGGUUCAAACAAAAACCAAAUCCAUUGCCACUGAGUUGAUUUCAACUUAUAGCAACCCUACAGGACAGAGUAGAACUGCCCCAUAGGAUUUUCAAGGCUGUAAAUCUUUACGGAAGCAAACUACCACAUCUUUUUCCCUUGGUGUAGCUGGUAUGUUUGAACCACUGACCUGUCAGUUAGUAGCAAGCAUUUAACCACUGAACCAUCAGGGCUCCAUGCCCUGAGGUUAGUAAGGCAUUGUUUGUUUAACAUACCAGUACUAGCUGCCUUUGAGUUGAUUCCAGACUCACGGUAACCCCAUAUAUACCAGAGUAUACUGUUGCUCCAUAGGGUUUUGAAUGUCAGAUUUCUCAGAAGUAGGUCACCAGGCCUUUCAACAUAGCAAGGUGAAUUAAGUCUUAAAAUAUUUAUUCUGGGAAUGAAUGCAUUUUGAUGCAGAUUAACAUUUGCUAAACACCAUGCGAAGUGGAACAAAUAUAAAGCAUUAAAAAUUUGCAAAAUGGAAGUAAAAUAGAGAAUCUUUUAUUGAGGAGAAGAAACCCAAUCACAGUUGGAGUUGAUGACAGGGUAACUCUGGAGUAAGCUCUAACAAGCAGUGUCUAGAGUGCAGCUACUAUGUAUUACCUGUGUGGUAAAAUGUUGAAGUUUAAAUAUUACUACUAGAAGGCCGUACAGUUUUCAGGUGGGUUGAAAUUAUUUUUAUUGCCCCACAGCAUAGUUUUAGAAUAUGUGUUUGUCCUAUCUGACCUGCCUGGGAAAAAGCUCAUUUCCAAAUUCCUGUGCAGAAUAAGCCACAUGCCACUUGGUUGUCAAGACUAAUUUAAGUUUUAAGAAUGUUGGUAAGUUCGUUAGUCAGAAUUAUGUUAUUGGGCAGAUUGCUUUGGGUUUGAAAAUAUUUUUUUGUUGUUUACUCAUUGUUAGGCUUUGAAGUUUGGACAGGAUGGUAAAUACUAUUUCAAUAUGGAGAAAUUUUUCUUAUUCACUAGCAGGACCAUUCACAGUUCUCGAAGCAUUCUGCCCAAAAAAUAAUUUGGAAAAGAAUAAAGAACUAUUUCUUCUUCAAAACUGGGAUACCAGGCAAUCAGCUUUCAUAAGAGGGAUGAAAUAUCCAAGUAUAUAGGGUACUUAACUUCAUAAUAAUUGAGGUGAUUCCAUUGUCAAGUGGAAAACUUACUCUUUGUGAUCUGCAGAUUUUUUUCCUCUUUUCGAGUGGUCAUGAUCUUUAUUUAAUAAUCUGUAGCAAAGAGCAGCAGACAAGGCCACACCAGUUGCUAUUGUGUUGAUUCGAAGUCAUGGUGACCCCCUGUUAUCAAAGCAGAACUGCUCUCCGUAGGGUUUUCAGUGGUGAUUUUUUGUAAGCAGAUCACCAGGCCUUUCUUUUAAGGCACCUCUAGGUAGACUUGAACCACCAGCCUUUUGAUUAGCAGCUGAGCACUUAAUCAUUUGCACCACCCAAAGACUCCGGACCAGGUCAGGUGUGUGUCCAAAUCCAUUCUUUCAUUAACAAAGAGCCUUGAUGUCAAUAUGUGGUAACGUUUUAGGCAGUGGGCCCGAGCACUCGGUGAUUCUCUUUAGUGAGGUUAUGAGUAUGAUUUUUAUUUUCCUUAUCUUAGCUGACGUAAGCCCGCCAGGAAGAGGGCAUCAUAAAGGUUAAAAAAUUCUUUUUGUUAGCUAGAUAAGAUUUGGAUGUUGUUUGGUUCAUCCUAAUCAAGGAAGAUGCCUAGUUGAGUGCUAAUAGAAUCCUUAGUUUGGUUUUCUAAUUGGAAGCCCUAAUUAAACUCUGACAAGAGCUCUGUCUGUUGAUGUUGUGACACCCUUUCUGUUGACCUGACUCUUUGUUCAGAAAUCUUUUAGCAACUAAAAUGUGGGGCAAUGGCUAGAACUUUAUAUUCCAUGUGUCCAAGAUAUAAUUCUGUUUUUCCACUAAUGCAUGAUAUCUGGAGAAAUCUUGAGCUAUGUGCAUUUUGUUGAAAUGAAUGUUACAUAGAAAAAGAUGAAAUAAACAUUUUAUUUCUUGCUAAUGGUUGAACUUAACAAGGGAUGUUCUUUUAUUUGGUACAAUAUCAUGCUUUGUUUAGGUUUCACGUUAAGGAGAAGCCUGAAUUCUUUAUUUCAUAUAAUGCUGGCCUCAUUCAGACCCAUGCACAGAGAGUUUCGGCACAUACAAGUCCACCCUUCCUGCACACAACCCAUUAAUAGCUUCUCUUUACUCUUUGGAUACAAUCCAAACUUCCUACCAUAACUCUCAAUGCCCAGAGGGCUGCUUUCCUCUCCAGCCUCUCCUGAGAUCUUUCCCUUUACUCUCCAGGCUCUAGCCUGACUAGAUACCAUACAUUUCAUGGAAUUUGUUAAGCUCCCCUUUAACCUCACUAAAUCCUACUCACUCUUUGGGUCACAACUUAAAUGUCACUCCUGUGGGAAAUCUUUCCUUAUCCGCAGACUGUAUGCAAUCUGCUGCCUUCACACUAUCCCUUCUGUUGAGACUUCCUUGUGGGCAGCUGCCAUGGAGUAGGCUUCUGAGUCAUGGCAGCCCCAUGCACAGUGGCGUAAGACACCCCUGGUCUUGUGCUGUUCACGUGAUCAGUUGUGGAUCAGACCUUUGCAAUUCAUAGGUUUUCAUUGGCUGAUUUUCAGAAGUCAAUCAUCAAGCCUUUCUUCCUAGGCUGGAAGCUCUGCUGAAACCUGUUCAGCAUUGUAGUAACACACUAGCCUCCACUGACAGAUAGAUGGUGGCUGUACUUAAAGUGCAUUUAGGCAAGAAUUCUACCACUGAACCACCAAUGCGCAAUUUGGUGAGACUGUUGUUGUUGUGGUUGUGGGCAAGUCAAGUCAAUUCUGACUCAUAGCGACCCUAUAUAACAGAGUAGGACUGCUCCAUACGGUUUUCUUGGGUAUAAAUCUCUAUAGGAACAGAUCAUCAGAUCUUUUCUCCUGCGGAGCCACUGGUGGGCUUGAACCACUGGCCUUUCAGUUAGCAGCGGAGCACUUAGCCUUUGCACGGACAGGUGAUACCAGUGCACUUAAAUUUACUUUUAAUGAAGCAUUCAGUGGUCUGUUAUCUGUGUUCCCUACUAGACUGUUUCUUAUAGGGACUGUAUCUGUCUCUCUGCCUUUCUCCCCAGUACCUAAGAUUAUGCCUGGUAGGUUAUCGUAAAUAUUUGGUAAUUGAUUUGUAUAAGUACUAUGCAAUGGAGAAAUGAUUUCUGGUAGAAAUUAACUCGAGUUACGUUUAUGCAUUUUGUUUUAUUUUUUGCCACAUAACCUGGAUUAACAAAUGCCUACUUUCUUACUCUAAAUUGUAUAUAGAUAGCCUUGUAACAUUCUAGGAUCUUAUAAAGUAUCAUAUUUUCAUUCAGGACCCACACCUUAAAAUGUGAUCAAUUGGAUAGAAUGUGAACUAAUCGUUUUUAAAGAUAACUCAUCAAAAGAAAACUAUUUUUCAAAUAUCCAAAAGCACUAUAGAUAUACUACAUAUAAACAAGUUUGUUGGUUAUCCUCACUUAUUUAACUAUUCUUUAUCAAGCCCCAUAAAGACCUCUACUAAUAUAUCUGAUCUUAGAUUAAAUUACGUAUUGAGACGGUUUUUUUUUUUUUUUUUACAUCUAUUUAAUCAUUGACUCAUCCAGUCAGUACUCACUGAAUGAAAGAAUGAAUGAAUAAAAGAAUCUUCAAUACUAGGCUGAAGUUUUAUUUAAAAAGAAAUAUAAAAUAUUUCCUCUGUCUUCUAGAAAUAUUUGGAAAAUAUUCUUGAAGUUUGAAUUUUUAGCAGAUAUAUUCUGUUGUUGUAGUUACUCUGAAAUAAUGAGGUUUUGCUAUACUUUAUUUCCAGAAUACUGGAAUAUUUGAAUAUAUAUGGAAAAAUAUAAAACUUUGGCUUAUCUGAGCUGAAGUUUGGCCAUAGCCUAUACCUCUUCUCUCUUGUGUAGAAAAAUGAGAAUAAACAUUUCUAUAUGGAAGUGAAUCCGUGGAACUUUAAAAAGAUAAAAUGUAAAUAGAUGAAUUGAAUAUUGGGUCAGAACAAUGAUUGUUCAACCUUUAUGUUCAAAUCCAGACCAAAAGUCCAUGGUCUUGGUCCAUGAGUCAGCAGUGAAGUAGCACUCUAUGGAGAGCAACUAGUGUUAGAAGCAGUGUUUAAUGCCUAAUGUUAAAAGUAAAGUCACGUUAUUCUAAACUCCUCUUAUGAACUUAAUUUUGUAGCAUUGCAAUUAGCUAUAAUCAUUUUAAUUUUUGUUUGCAGAGUUUUCCAUCCCCCCCUUCUUUUUUGGCAAACUUUUAUUGACUACACAUAGUUUAUAGCAUAGUAGUCCCAAUCUAGGAGCCCCUGGGUGGUAUAAAUGGUUAAGCAUUCAACUAUUAGCCAAAAGGUUGGUGAUUCGAACCCACCCAGAGGUGCCUGGGAAGACAGGCCGGGUGAUCUGCUUCCAAAAGACUUGAAAGCUGUAUGGAGCAGUUCUACUCUGCACACAUGGGGUCACCGUGAGAUGGAGUCAUCUCAACAGCAGCUAACAAUAACAACAAUCUAGGUCUGGAAGAUACACAAAUGAAAAAGGCAUGGCAACUCUCCCCAAAGGCUGGAUCUCUAGGGAAUCUAACUAAUGUCUCCCCAUAUAACAUACUGUAUGCCAUGGUAGAUUCUAAAAAUUAAAUAAAAAACAAUGUUUUAUGAGAAUGCCAAGGAGGAAGCCAUUAAUAUUAAUUUGUAGAAUCAGAGAAUUCUCCAUGGAGAAGAUGGUAGCUGAGGGUUGAAUACCAUCUCAACAAGCAGAAAGUAGGAGACAGAACAUUCCAGGUAAAACAGAACUGCUGAAAACAAAUUAUUGUAUGCCGGAGGACAGAAUAUGUUUGGAGAUGGGUCUUGUAGGUGCUAAUGGCUAGUCUGAUUAUGUCCGUAUUGAGGAGAACCGUGAAUGAACUGGAUCCACCACCAAGAAAUUUUUUUUUAACUAAGACUCUUGUAGUCACUGAUGAUGAUCACCAAAAAUUUCUGACUCUCCCGCCUUUCUAGCACAUAGUAGAAUUAUACUUCUUGACUCUCUCUAGUUAGAUGGAGUCAUAACUACUUCUAAGCUUUGUGUCGAUAGCAGAAGUGAUGGAGCAUUUAUUGGUCUAUGCAGGAAUUUAUGGGGCAUUCUCUCUUCCCUAUGGCACAUUUGAAAUAGUGAUUGUCCCGUAUAAGCAGAACCCCCACUGACCAGAGAUGAGUGUAUAAUUUGAGCAAGACAAAAACCUUUAUUGUUUUAAGCUACAGAGAUUUGAAGCUGGAGUCAAGACCUUGUUUUAAAAAUCCCAAAAUAAUCUUUGUGGAAUUAUGUAGGAUAACAUGAAAAGAAGGGAACUCUGGAGUUAAGAGAUCACUGAAUUGGCUGUUGGGUUAGUCCUGAAAAAAAAAAAAAAAGAUAAUGAAGGUCAGCAAUGACAGUGAAAAUGGAGAAAAAAAAAAUAAUGUGAGUGGUAUGAUGGCAAAUGAAUGAACAGGACAGCUUAAUAAAUUAGAUGUGAAAGGCAAUGAUAUGGGAGAGCUGAAGGUUACUUCAGCAGAAAUUCUUACCAUUUAACUGGUGAAACUUUUCCAAUUGAAGUGGUUUCAUUAUUAUAUUUCCUUUAUGUUUGGAUUUUUCUCCUUAAACUUUAAUUUUCCCCUCCCCAAAGGUUUGGUGUAAUUAAAUUGAUUUAUUGUCUGUAUUAAUCUGUAUUCAUUUGUAGUUUGAGAUUACUAGACUUUCAGGAUUUUGCUUCUUUACUGCUUUGUUUAUUCUAUACCAUAUGGAAUAUAUAAUGCUUUAUUAAGUAAUACUUUAAAUUCAGUUUUAGAAAAAUUUUUGUUCCAGUGAAUUAAUGAGAAAAAAAUGAUAGCUCUAAACUACCUUAUCAACUACAUAAUUAUACUCUAAUCAUGAUACUAAUGGUCACAUAAAGUACUUUAAUUUCAACAAAGCAAUAUAACGCAUGUUUUCUCAGUAAUCAAGUGAGGUAGGCAAGGAAGGAGUUAGCUUCAUCAAAUAGAUGAGAAGCAUGAAGCUUAGGGGCAUUAAGUUAGCAAAGAGCAAAAUCAAUCUUAAACCUGUGCUUUCUGUCUCUGUGUUGAACUCUCUUCACACUACAAAAUGCUACCUGGAACUCCCAAGAUUUUGAAGCACAGAGAAUGCUGAAAAGCUAUCAGGGGUUCCACAACAGAGUUUAGAAGUAUCACUGCCCAGUCAGACCCAAGGAAGAACACAUCAACUUCUAGAAAAAAGCAGCUAAGAUAGAAUGUGUACUAUUUUGUCCUUUGGAUUUUUUGUAACUGUGGGCCUAUUCCGAAUCUUUUUAACAUUGUCUAAAUGUCAGAUCACCUUAUUCCUUCUAUUACAGCUUUUGCAUAUUGGGGGUAGGGUGAAAGUAUGAAGUAUGUGCAUUAUUACUCUACCCAGAUAGUGAUACAUGUAGUAUAGGCUACAGGUCAAGAGCACAAAGUGCAUUCAGAGUCUCGGUCCUGACAUCAAAUCCUUACUGCCCAUGAAUAGCCAUGUGAAUGGGAUCAUUAUACUCUCUCUCUAACUUUAGUUUACUCAUCUCUAAAAUGGAAUAAGAGUUGAACAUGGGUAAUUGUGAAGUUUAAAUGUAAUAAUCCAUAUAAUGACCUUACUGCAUGGUUGUGCACACUGCAAACUCUCAAUAAAUUAGCCAACCAAAAAAAAAAAAAAAACAAACCCACUGCUGUUGAGUUGAUUCUGACUCAUAACAACGCUAUAAAACAGAGUGGACCUGCCCCAUAGGGUUUCCAAGGAGCAGCUGGUGGAUUUGAACUGCUGACUUUUUAAUUAGCAGCCGAGCUCUUAACCACUGUGCCACCAGGGGAUAAUGAUCUAAUGAGAUAACCAAACUCUUAGGAGUCCUAUUGAUGCUACCAUCAUCAACCACUUAUAGUCUAAAGUGUAAUUUAGCAACUGUGCCUGAUAAUUUGUAGCAUUCAAUAAAUGUUUGGGGAAUGAAAAUACUAGGCUUGGGUAUGCUAUGUUCAAUACUUACCUCUUGAUUAGAGAAAAUCAUGUUAGUCAAGAUACAGAGGAACCAUGAUUACUUCGAUUUUAAUAGCUAAUACCUAAACUUUGUGAAAAACACAAGCAAAGGCUUAGGAAAACAAAACAAAACAAAAAACAUUGCCAUCGCAUUGGUUCUGAUACUGAACUUGACACAUCUAGCAAACAAAUCUUCAUUUAGGUUAAUGUUUGACUUUCUCUUUCCCCUGGGGUUGAAUUACCAUAUGAUUUCAAAUGCUAAUUUUUUAGUUAUACAAGCUAGAAGAUGAAACCAAUUACUUUUCUUACAUUCUGAAUAAUACAUGCACUGCUCUAUAACCUGGGUACAUUAAUAAUGUCUCUAAAAGCAAUGGCUUCUAACAUUUAGGUGAAUAAUGUAAGAGACUAUAUAAAGCUAAAGUCACUUUGCUUAGCCAGUAUGAGAUACACCUUCUUCUAGUCACAGUAUUGAUUAUUGAUACAAAGUGCACAGUAAAUAUCCUACUUAUUCAUAAUUUUAUUUUAUCUAUUUGCUGCUUUAAAUAAUUUUUUUUUUUUUUUUUUUAGAAUUUAAUGAUUUAUAAGUACUCAUGGUUUUAAAGAUACAAAACUGUAGCAUUUUCUGUAGCAGCAUUUUGGUAAGUCCCAAUUCCUAAAAUCAACUUUUUUAUUACUUUUAAAAAAAUGGAAAAUCUCAAUGAGAGACAAACUAAAAAAAAAUUAUUAAUCUCACGUACUAGUAAAGAAGAACUAUUGUUACAGUGUUUUUUUUUUUUUUUUAACCUAAAUACAUUAUACAUUUUAUUUACUGAUUUUUUUCUGAUUUGGAAUUUAGUAAUAGGAAAUUUUGAGAGAGUCCCUAGCUGUACCCCUUAUUAACAAUUAAGUAUAUAAAAUUUAAGCAGUCCUAGUGACAUCUUCACAGGAACCUUCCCUCAUAGAGCCUUAUAUUCCCCAUCUUUUCAUGGAUCUGAUGGGGGACACAUACCAUCUGAGAUAGAAGACAUGCCCAGGCACCAGGCUCCUUGGAACCAUAAAAAGUGCUAUCAAAAUCCAAACAGGUGGCAGUCCAGCUGUUUACUUGUUAGCUCUAAAAUAUGUAUGCUAAUUUGGUUGAGAAUUCAGUCAACAAAACUGCUUUAUGAAGAGAAUAUCAAGAGAUUUAUAUCUCCAAAAAAUCUUCUAUUUGCUAGUAUAAAAAAAUAAAUCUUGGGAAUGUUUCUUCCCAUGACAUCUGAAAUUACUGUGUUCUGAAAGAUAAAUUAGCUUUCAUGAAGAAAUCAUUUAAUAAAUUAAUAAUCAGCCUACCUCUGGCAACUGAUUUAAAUGUUUAGAAAAUCUACAGGAAAAGAUUAUAUUAAGGAACUAUAAAAUGUCAUAAAUUAUAAAUGGGAAUACUUAUCUUGUAAUAGUUAUUAAAAACUAUACAUUUAUUUAAUUUAAAGAGUCAGAUAAUUCAUAAGUCAUAUUGACCUAGCUCAGAUUUUUAUUUCCUAUCUAGCUCAAAGGCAAUGUUUUUUUCCAGCUGUGUUUUAAAAAUUCUUUAAGGCUUGAUUUUUUUUGAUAUCAUGAAGCGAUUUAACUCUUACUGUAUUUCAGUACUGAUGCUGCUUUUCAUGUGUCCUAGGGGAAAGAUUGUUCUUUUGUUUAUAUUUGGGUGAGAGGGUUGAGAUAACAUUUUGGGAAGGGAUUAUUAUUACCUGUGAUAUGGCCAAAGCCAGUGAAAUGACUUGAUUGUGACUAUUUUGGCAGAAUAUGGAUAUUAACAGGAGAUACCAAGUUACUUCAUUGACUAGAUUUUGGAAAUGCCUGUCUGCCCUCAUAAUGAUUAGGGACUUGUCAUAAUUUGGAAAGAUAAUUCAGUUUAUUUUAAUUAAUUUUCUAGGUUUUUUUUUUUUUUUGAAAUGAUAAAUGCUAGCUAUUUUAAAUAUAGUCUGUUAUUAGCCACGGGGAGGAGGGGAUAGCAUAAUAAAUGGAUGUGUGAUUUGAAUUUGCAAAUUUCUUUGUGUGAAUGUGUAUUUAUAUAGGCUGAGGAUGAAAUAUGGGAGAGUCCUGAGGGAAAAAAAAUGUCCAGUGUAGCAAAUGCGUUGAGUGCAUUACACUUUUAAAAGAGUAACUCUUGGAGACAAUCCAGAUUGGUCCAAUUUCAAGUAGCAAAGGUAAUAAUAUCUGUGAAUUACCUGUAUGCCAACAUACUUGUAUUAUAUUUCAAUGGACUCAGCUUUUUCUCCUCAGUGUAAUAGGAGCUGUGUGUCUUUUUUUAGUUCGUGGCCUUUGAUAUUCUCAGAUAAAAGGCUUCCUUCUGAAUUCUUUGAUCAUAUACUACAGCAAGCCAGCAAACUUUUCACUCAUGGCAUGUUUGAAAAAAAUUCUCAUAUUCUUCAAAUGUGUUUUAAAGUAUUUAAUAAUUCAGUGACAUUUUCUACAGCGUUUAAAGGAAUUUAAGCCAGAAUUUAAUGGCAUGCUCAAAAGAAGAAUUGAAUAAGUGGGAUAUUCUUGGCCAGAGUGGAAAAUCCCUGAACUAUAAAUCCAGCACCUUAUCAGUUUUUAUUAAAUGCAACAUAGUGACAAUGCAUUUAACUGCAGAGAGUCCUAUGGGAAUAGCCCGGACUUUGGAGGCAAAUGAAUGUGGGCUCAAGCCCAGCUCCACCACUUAAUAGCUCUGUGGCCUCCAGCAGUUAUUAUGUAACACCCAAGCAGCAUUUACCCAGUUAGCUGCUGUAUAUGCUUCUCUAGAGUUCACCUGAGAGAUCUGGCUUAGAGAUACCACUAUGAAGUUAUCACAAAAAUGAAACAAAACAAAACACCAAAACCAUUGCUGUCGAGUCAAUUCCGACUCAUAGCAACCCUAUCGGACGGAGUAUGUAUAUCCAUUGUCUUUAUCUGACCAGAUAAUUCAGUCAACUUACGAUACUUGUAUUUUUCUUUUUCUUUAUUUUAACCUUGUUUCCUCUGCUAAAUAGUCUAAAAUGCAUGACGUUUGAUGCUUUUUUGUAUUCUCCUCUAUUGGCGUUCUAAUGUCAAGUAUCAUGGUACCACAACUAGGAGAAAUCAAUGAGAUUAUAUUUACUACUUUGUAUUGUAACUGAAAGUUCAGCGUUUGUAUCACCUGUCCUUUACAUUAGUUAAUUCAUUCAUUAAACUUUUUGAGCUAGUCACUCAUCAGUCUGUUGAGAUACAGCAGUGAACAAAACAAAGUUCCUAUUCUCAUGAAUCUGUGUUCUAACAGGUAAAGAUUAAUUUAUAUCCCUGGUGACACAACAGUUUAGCACUUGUCUGCUAACCAAAAGGUUGGCAGUUCAAAUCCACCCAGAAGCUUUAUAGGAGAAAGACAUGGCAGUCUGCUCCCAUAAUGAUUUUAGCCUAGAAAACCCUAUGGGAGAAGUUCUGUUCUGUCACAUGGAAUCACAAUGAGUUAAAAAUCAACUGGAUGGCACCUAACAACAACAUAGGAGGUUAUAACAAGUGCCAUGAAGAAGAUCAAAAAUGGGUAACAGAUGGAAAGUGUUAGGUAGAGAAUGAAUGUAAGAUGGGGGAUCAGGAAGGCCUCCCUGAGGCUAUGACAUUUGUACAGGGUACUGAAUAAAGCAAGGGCAGAGCAGAGCACAUGUUUGGGUGAGGAAUUCUCCAGGCAGAGGAAUAGCAAGUACAAAGGCCCUGAGGUGGGAGUUGGUCUGGUGUCCUUAGGUAAGCAAGACCAGUGUGACCAAAGCAAAGGUAGUGACCGGGAGAGAGGGAAGCAGAAGUCAGAGAGGGAGCCAGGGGGCCAGAACAUUAGGGCCUCAGGUUUUACUCCAGUUAAAAUAAGACAAAACAGGAGGAUACUGCGCAGAGAAGUAAAAUAUUGGUUUUUGAUAUCCUGUGAUUGUAUUUCUGUCAGAAUCAUGAGUAACGAAGCAAAAUUACUCAGCAUUUCGUGUAAAUGUACAACUAGGGAAUGGUGUCUCAUAGAUGGUUUAAUCUCAAAUCUCUAUCUGCUUUUAUUUACCUAUGUGCUAGAAACAGAUAAUUUUGUUUAAGUUAAAUAUAAUUAUUUAACAGAAAUACGUGUCUGUAGAUAGAGAGAUAGCCAGACUCAUGACACCAUUUCUUCAUUGGAAUACUGUUCCCACUGUGAACUAUCUGCAUGAUAAUCCUGGUGAUGUUUCUUUUUGUCUGUAAUAAAGUGCUUAUGACCUGGUCACAGAUACUUUGACUUUGACCAAAAUGACUCUUAAAAAAAGAGCAAGCUUGAAUUUUUUUCUUCCCAAAUGAAAGUUUUGGAAUAUACUUUUUCACGUUAUUCUGAAUCACACGGUUAAUGCAUCUUAUCCAGAGAAUAUAACAGUAGAAAAGGAAAGAAUAGGAAAGAGGAAAGUGUCCUCAGUGACUAAUCUGUCCAUUGCCCUUGAGUUGAUUCUGGCUUAUAGCCACCCUGUAGGAUGGGGUAGAACUGCUCCAUCAGGUUUCCAAGGCUAAUUUUUACAGAAGCAGACUGCCACAUCUUUCUCCUUCAGAGCUGCUGUUGGGCUUGAGCCACCAACGUUUCAGUUAGCAGCCAACUGCUUAACUAUUGCGCCACCAGGGCUCCUUCAGUGCCUAUAGUGCAUGAUUAAUUUUCUAAGUACCAUGGAGUAGAGUGGUUCAAGUCUAUCAGUAAUUACCUGUUAUUAGCAGUGGCAGUAUAUUUACAUAGGUCAUUAUUUGUCUGCUGAGAUCUACAUCCUGGGAAAUGAGAAUACUAUUAAAUCAUUGGUGCGGAAUUCUGCACUCAGAACUCAGCAUGGAUGUACACUGAAAUCUAAUUUGAAAAGUAAAUUGCAAAUAGGAAUAUAGCAUGAGUUCUGCUUUAUUGAAGACGAGUGAGCUUUUUAUAAUCUGCAGCAAACAGAAUGAGUUUGGACAAUUAUCAAUUACGUUUUUUAAAAACUGGUCUAUGAAUAAACACACAUACUUGGAAUAGGGAAUUCUUACUUCAUUUAUUCUUUUCAGCAAGAACACUGUGUUAGUAAAAUACAGUUGUCCUCCAUAUCCAUGGGUUCCGCAUCCAUGGAAUCAACCAACUGCGAAUUGAAAAUAUUUACAAAACAAAACAAAAAAAGACAGUUCCAAAAAGCAGAACUUGAAUUACGCUGAGUCCACACGAAUGAAGUGAUGUGUAGGCAUCCCCUGCUGUAACCUCCCACCAUUUCACAGUUCCUCAGCCUGAGCCUCUCUCCUGUGCUCAUUAUUUGAACAUUGUUUGCCUUGCAUGUAACAACUAUUUACAUGGUAUUUACAUUGUAAUAAGUAUUAUAAGUUAUCUAAAAAUGAUUUAAAGUGUAGGGGAGGAUGUGUAUAGUUAUAUGCAAAUACUACACCAUUUUAUAGAAGGGACUUGAGCAUCUGUGGAAUUUGGUAUCCAUGGCGGGGGGAGGUGAGAUGGGUGGAGGGGAGUGUUGUCUUGGAUACUGGAGGAUGACUCUGUAAAAUUACUGUGUGAAAUAGAUGAGAAAGGCAGCACAAAAGACAUAAUUUGUGAUAAAAUCCUGGAAUUAUAUAGUAAUUCCAUUCUGUGAGAAGAUUUAAAAAUACCAUAAGAGAAAAUAAAAUUUUAAAGACUUAGAGAAUUAAUUGUAUUGUCCUAAUUACGUUAGCAUAUCUUUUCAAGUAGUAGUAGUAGUUUUUGGAACAGAUUUAGACUCAAAGCCAGUAGAAAACAGAAUUAAAUUUCUCAGAACCCUUAAUUUUAUUUAUUCAGUAGUUACAGGAUAAAAACAAUCAAACAAAACAGACCCACUUUGGGUAGAGUAUCCAUUCUUUUUUAUAAAAAUACCAGAACUCUAUUUAGGUUCACUCUUUUCUGAUUUAUACCUAAAUCACUGUUUCUAUAUUUGGCAUAUUCUUUUUAGGGAUCAAGCAAAAAUAUUAUUGUGUUCCUAUAGUGUACAAAUGCAAAGCAUAUUUUCUUUACCCUCUAGUUGCCUACAUCAAAUUUGGGAAUGGGGAUAUUACUGUACAAGGAAUUAAAAGAAUCCUUGGCCUGACCCUGUCACUAACUGCCAAAUCACCAAGUCACCUUUAAUAUAAGAUUUAGUUUCCACUUUUAUGAAAUAGAAAUAAGAAAGCUUGGACUGCUUACAUCAACUAGAAUAUUUAGACUGUUAACUAUUUUAUUCGGUAAAAUAGUUUAUGUGAAAGUUUUCUAAAAAUUAUUUUUCAUUUGUAAAAAUAAACCUUGUAAAGUUACAUGUUAUACUAGGCUGGAUAGCAACUCCCCCCCCGCCCCCGCCCCCAAAUUCAUGUCCUUCUUUUAAUCUCAGAAUGUGACCUUAUUUGGAAAUAGUGUCAUUGCAGAUGUAAUUCUUUAAGAUGAGGCCAUACUGGAUGGAGCAGGGUGGGCUCUUAAUCCAGUAUGACUGAUAAACUUACAAGAAGUGAAGAGACACACAGACAUACAGGGAAGACAGCCAUGUAAGACGGAGGCAGAAAUUGGAGUUAUGUUGCCACAAGCCAAGGAACACAGGGGCUACCAGAGCUGCUAGAAGAGACAAGAAAGGAUCCUCCCCUAGAGGCUUCAGAGGGAACAUGGCCCUGCCAACACCUUGACUGUGGACUUCUAGUUUCCGAACUGUGAGAAAAUAAAUUUCUACUGUUUUAGCCGCCCAGUUUGUAGUACUUUGGUAUGGCAGGCUGAGGAAACUAACACACAUAUGUAACCUUAUAUGAAACCAUGUAUAGUUACGUAUGUAUUUAUUACUAGUGCAGGAUGAGUACCAGAAAGAGCAAAAACCUAAUAAGAUUUCAUAAAAGUCAGAGUGCAGAGGGGAGAGUACUUUUGUUAUAGUAAUAACUACCAUUUAUAUGCAUUUACUAUGUCUCGGACAGUGUGCUUGGUGAUUUAAAUAUAAUACCAAAACCAAAAAAGCAAUCCCACUGCCAUCGAGUCGAUUCUGACUCACAGUGACCCCACAGGGUUUCCAAGGUUGUAAAUCUCUAUGAAACCAGACUGCUGCAUCUUUCUUCCACAGAGGGGCUGGUGGUUUCAAACCGCCAACCUUUCAGUUAGCAGUCGAUGGCUUUAGCCACUGUGCCACCAGGGCUCCUUAAAUAUAGUACAGUAUCACACAAUAAGGAGAUGAGUAGAAAUCUUGUUCCUGUAUUAGAGAUGAGAACUCUGAAGUCCAUUAGGGUUUAGUUACUUGUCCAAAAAUGAUGCACUUAAUAGUAGCAAAGCCAAGAUUCGGAUCAGCUGUAAUAGAAGCUAAAGCCCACACACACCUCACCACAACACCAACUGUUUCUCCAAAAGGAUCGGCUGGAGGUGAGGCUGAAGAGGUAGGAUAGAACCAGACUCUAGUGAGAGGAAAGGAGACAGCAGUGCCAGGGUGGAAAAUCUGAAUUUUAUCAUUUAGGCAAAAGGCAACCAUUGAUUAUUUCUGCCCUGAAAAUAACACGGUAAAAGUAAUGCUUUAGGAAGGUUAGAAAGAUCUCAACUUUACAGAAGUGGAAUUAUGAUUGCUCAUUUGUUAAUGACCUAUUUUAUAUAAAGCAGAAUAAUGAAGACAAAGUCCUUACUGGUUUGAAGUUUUUAUUGUUUUGUUUGGUAGAAGGUGUUUGAUUCCCUACCGCCCCCUUGAGGAGUGACAGCCGUGAGUUAUAAUGAGCUUCCCAAAUGUUUACAUGCCUACUCACAGGCCAUGGAGAGUAGUAAAUUGCUCUCUUUCUCAUGACAUAUUUAGAUCAGGAGAAGUUGGGGGAGGAGGUCAGUGCUCCAUCCACCAAUUAAAACGACUGUGGGAUGAUGAGCCUCUGAGAAUACCAUCACAACAAUGAGAAGAAAAAAUAGCACACAGACAGGAAACCUAGACCAGAGACAGUGUGACUCAGAUCUUGCAAAGGACUUCAGCCUGCUCCUGCUUUGGGAAGAGCUAUCCCUUGGUUUGGGUAGGCGGUGAAGUGAGGGUGGCAUUGUGGUGGUUCUCAGAGAACCAGAGAAAUGACGUGACUUCCAGAGGCACACUGAUUGAGAUGGGAGCUGUUUAUGUGCCUUCUCACACCGGCUGGGCAUGAUGCCUGGCAACAGCAAACCUUUCUUCAUCCACAGAGACAACUGGCUUUGUGAUUCUUUAUUUAAUAGGUUCCUUCAGUUGUUUUAAAGGCAUGGUCUCAGUCAGGUCUCCCCCCACCUCCCACCCUUCAGUGUGUCUUUUUAAUUGCUUUGAAGUGAAAGAAUCAUAGGUUCAGAAAGUCAUUUAAUAGUCUUCUAUUCUAGACAACACCAGAAAAUCUCCUCUGGACUAUGUCUGCCAACAUCUACCCUACUGAGCAAAUAUUUAUUAAAUCCUUAUUUUUUUAUGGAAAUACAGGGGUACAUAUUAAGACGGACACUUCCCUUACAGUCUAGGAAAAACCACAAGACAGUAACCAAACAAUACCAUAUGUCACCAAUUGUAAGGAUCAAUGAAAUGUAACUGGAGGACAAUCACAAUGCAGUAUACCUUUUAAUCCUCAGAGAACCUCUGCAAGGUGAGAUACUUCACUUUUAUAGAUGAAAACAUUUAAGUGAUUAGCUCAAUAUCUCACAACUGGUUAAUGGUAGAUCUUCCAUUUGAACCAGAGUUCAAGCUAUUCACUCGAGUUAGUUGCUAAAGUGAAAAAAAAUGAAAAAAAAAAAAAGUGAAGGG